rnacentral:lncRNA from 1 species
GUCAUUUUUAGGAGUUUCUAUCUUGCUCUUUGUUGUAGAGAUGGCUGUUUUUUCGCUUAUUUUCCCAUGUUUCUAUCUCUGUUUCAGCUCUUGAGAUAGUCAGUAACUAAAAACAUGCCUUGCAAACCACUCUUAAAGCAAAAGAUGCCCCCAGAAUAUUUUGAACCUAUGAUACUGCAACAAUGAAUGCGGUCAUGUUUGGGAGCUCCUCGGCUACUGCGGUGUUGCAAGCUAUAUGAGGAAGAGGUCACUUCAGAAUGAAGUUAAGUGCUACCGCUCCCUUCCUCAGGGGCAGAGAAGACUGAGACGGCUGAGCAGAGGUUAUGUGUUGGUUUCAAGCAUGUAAAUCGGAGGGGAGCAGAAGAACCACUUUGUUCCCCAGCCCUGCCCCCGGGUAUAUAAAUAGCCGCCUGGGUGGCUGCUGGAGUGCCUCUCAUUCCAGAGAUCUUUGGCCACCCUCUUAUCAAAACAGAAAGACUGACUUCACUCCCGUUCUCUGCCGACUGAUUUCAUGCUGGAAACAGGUAAGGAGGCCGUGGCCAUCGUCCUUGAAUUGGCCACCUACAUCCAGAGGUCAAGCAAAGAGAAACGCGCUGCCAACAUUCCUCCUUCACAAAAUAAGCCGGUGCUUGAGCAGUCCCGGCUGA